rnacentral:rRNA from 1 species
ACGCCCCGCAAGGGGCGUGGCGCAAGGGUGAGUAAGGCGACGGUAACCAACCCCGCGGCCGGGCAUAGCCCAGGGAAACCUGGGGUAAUUCCCGGCGCCGUCAUCGAAGAGACAUCUCUUUGAUGCGAAAGGUGUGACUCCGCCGUGGGACGGACCGUCGUGGUAUCAGGUCGUUGGCGGGGUAAUGGCCCACCAAGCCUGGGACGCCUACCGGGCGUGCGAGCGUGGCCCGGCACACUGGGACUGAGACACUGCCCAGACUCCUACGGGAGGCUGCAGUCGAGAAUCUUCGGCAAUGGGCGCAAGCCUGACCGAGCGACGCCGCGUGGAGGACGAAGGCCUUCGGGUUGUAAACUCCUGUCGAGAGGGAGGAAGGCGUGGUGCAGAGCCAUGCUUGACCGAUCUCUGGAGGAAGCACGGGCUAAGUUCGUGCCAGCAGCCGCGGUAAGACGAACCGUGCGAACGUUAUUCGGAAUCACUGGGCUUAAAGCGCGUGUAGGCGGGCCGGCACGUCGGAUGUUGAAAGCCCCCGGCUCAACCGGGGAAGUGGCACCGAUACGACCGGCCUGGAGGGGGGUAGGGGGAGCCGGAACUUCCGGUGGAGCGGUGAAAUGCGUUGAGAUCGGAAGGAACGCCCGUGGCGAAAGCGGGCUCCUGGACCCCACCUGACGCUGAGACGCGGAAGCCAGGGGAGCGAACGGGAUUAGAUACCCCG